AAUCCAUGGUGAAGACACCUUCUGAGUAAGUCCUUGUAUCUCUCCCAUGCAUUGUAGAGUGUUUCUAAAUCUAUCUGCACAAAAGAAGUGAUAUCAUUACGUAAUU
rnacentral:snoRNA from 1 species